CAUUGAAUAUACAAAAAUUUAAGGAGCUUAAUCAGGUUCCGCUUAAGUCUGCACUGAAUCUUUUCCCUAUAUCUCCUUCGGAUUCAAAGGUUUCUGGAUAUACGUCAACCGCUGGUCAGCGCAAUCACCGAGUGCAGCAAGUUUGCUCCAUAUUUUCUAAUCACACCAUAUCUUUGCCUAUUUCACAGGUGAAUGAUGGGUUUGGAUGGAUAUUGGUUAGGGUUGCUGUUGAUGAUGAUGACUCUAUCAUCUACUGGGUCUGUUUGAUUCAAAAUUCUUCUGGGGUAGGAAAUGAAGUCUGUGUGGUGUCAACUGAUUCACAACAACGGCUUCAUAACAUUACUCUUUAGAAGGAAUGCUGGAAAAUAACGGUUAGGAUUAUCAGGAUGUGGAGUUUAUGUGAUUUUAGAGAGCAGACCGAGGAACUUGCUUUUCUUCCGCUAGUGGUGAUGGAUAAAUCAAUGUGAAGGCUCAGUACUUGGUACCUACCAUUUAUCCAUCUGCGGUUUCUUACGGGUACCAGGGUGCGGCGAGCAAGAAGAUUGAUAUCCCCAAUGGAAGGGUGGGUGUUAUUAUUGGCAAGGGUGGCGAGACCAUCAAGUACCUUAAGCUCCAAUCUGGGGCAAAAAUUCAGGUUACCCGGGACAUGGAAGCUGACCCCAAUUCGCCCACUGGGACAGUUGAGCUUACGGGCACUUCUAAAGCGAUUACUACUGCUCAACGAAGUUCUUGCUGAGGUCGAAUCUGGAGUUUCUGGAAUUGUUGUUAGGCGAGUAGCUGGACAAGCUGGUUCUGAUGAAUUUGUGAAGAUCCCAAAUAACAAGGUUGGCCUUAUGAACGGUAAAGGUGGGGAAACGAACAAGAAUAUGCAAGCUUCAACUGGUGCAAGAAUUCAGAGAUACCAUUCUACUGCCGCAACAUCUGAUUGAUUAGCGGCUACUGCAUGAAGAACCGCCGGUAAUCAGGAGCUCUAUAUCAAUUUUCAUUUAUUCAAUCUCUUUUUUAUCUUAUAACCAACACCCCCCCCUCCCAAACAUCUGCCGAAAUCCCAAAUCUCUGCUCCACCCUGCACCUCUGCGUGGUUGUGGAGUCGUGCGGCUGCCAUCCAUCCUUCUCUCCCCGGCAUCAACCUUUCGCCUCUCCUCCACAGUGCGUGAAAUUCCUGCUUCCUCCUCCGUGCGACUCUGUCGUCGUGGAGUCGAUCCCGUGGCUGCCCAUACAUCUUCCUCUCAUCGUCGUCGAAGUUUCCCCUCUCCUCAACCGUGGGUGAAAUCCUUACACCCUCCUCCACCGUGCGCGAAUCUCAGCUAUCGCGGCCUCUUCCCUGUCAUUGGUUCAUUCUUUCCCAUUGCUCUGUUUCUUGUUUUCAUUCUUGAUUUUGAUAUUGAUGUUGUUUUGAUUGGACUCGUGGUGUUUAGUUUUUGGAUUAUGUUAUUGCUUACUGUUUGUUAUUUUUAUUGGAUAUGGAUGGAGAGGGAGAGGGAGAGGGAGUGAGUGACUGAGCUGCUUUUUUCAGCUUUCAAAAUUCAGAACGUUUAAGCUUUGAUUUUUAGCUUGCUGUUGCUCAAAUCAAGAAGAAUCUCCAAAGAAAACUUCUCUUUUUGAAGCAAUAAAAAACUUAUGCAGCAGCAAGCAUAGUUUCUGAAGAUUGGAGCCAUUCAAGCAGUGGUAGAAGUGUUAAUUCCUCUAAGAUUGAUGCGUUAGUACUAGACAUUUAACUACAGCUACAAAAGCACCUAUGCUUCCUCCUUAUGUAUUUUUUUCUCUUUUUUUUGGAUAGAAUUUAGUUCAGAAAUACAACUUAUUCUCAAAUUUUAUGCCAUGUUGUACAAUCUCUGUGCGAUUUAUCUUAUGAUAGUUGUGUUACAUGCUUUCAUGAAUCAUGAUUAUUGCUACACAUAUGUUCUGUUCAUUUUAAUCGGUUUGGAAAAUUGGAAGAUAUGUGAACCCUCUUUUUUUGUAUUUAAUAAUUAGUGAUUUAGCCUAUUAUAAGGAGCAAACAAAGCCUCAUAAGAUGAUUUAUUAUUGUAAGAAGCUUCAGCCAUGUGAAGAAAUCUCCUAAUAAAUAAGAUAUAAGAUGUAUAAUGUCCAAAUGUCAAGGAGAGACUCAGAAUGCCUCUGGAGAACCAUGAAAUGGCAAUGUAGAAAUUGCUUUAGUAAAUUAUUCUUCAAAACUUAGUACUAUUUGGAAGAUUGGUAUUAUGAUUGGUUCAAAAUAAAUUUGACUCUAGUACUAAAGCUAUUACUGUGAUAAAUAUUACAUAGCAUCAUUAUAAACUCAUGAGUUCAGAAAGUUGAAGUCCUCAUAAGUUAUAUCAUAUACCCAAUUGGAUAGAUGAAUGAAUGCAAUAAUACCAAGCAAAGAAAUUAGGAAAGGAAUAAAAAUUAUGAUGCUUCAGGUUGAGCAUUCUACUAUAGGAAAAUUAUUCAUUACCAAACUCACAUAAAUACUUUAGAUUAUGUCUUAAAAUUAAUAUGCCUUCUACUAUAGUUGCUUGACAUUUUUCUCUUAGUCUUAGGUAACUCUCGAGUCAGGAAUUCAUGAUUUGGGGCCUUUGACCAAAAUUUUGGAAUACCCCAACUUUUUUAUUUAAGUCUUUAGGCUUCCUUGGGGAGCUAUGUGCCUUGUGCUUAGUUACAUGCUAUUGUUGCCAUAACUUUUGUCAUUGAUCCAAUUCUCUUUUACUUCUUCACUUACUUUCAUCACAAAAAAUUAGAAUAUGAGUUCAUUCUUUGAUGAACAGGCACAUGUUAUGGAACUCAUUUUUGAGUUAUGGUAAUCAUUUGAAAUUUUUUUAUACUGCAUUUUUUAUUGUUAAAAUAUGAUAAAUUUUUCGUGUCAAGUGGGAGAAAAGAAAGCACAUUAAGAAUGAAAUUUCACAUGAAUUUCACUGGUUAUCCUUCCUCACACAAUUUUGCAAACACUCUCCUGCAGCCAGUAAGUGUUCAUGUUGGGAAGAAUGCAUUUUUGUAAGUAUUGGUGUGAUUCAGGAAAAACAUUGAAACUUGUUAUAAUAUUAUUUUUUUGUGUAGCUUGCUCUUGAAUGUUUAGGACUGUUGAUCACCAGUGGGAUGGUGAACUUUUUGCCACAGCUGGCGCCCAAGCAGAUAUAUGGAAUCACAACAGAUCUGAGCCUAUAAACAGUUUUCAGUUGUGCAAGAUUUCAGAGGACUCGUAUGAUUCAUCCCAUGCUAGAACAUUUUAACAGGGGAGCCUUGGAGCAACGGUUGUGUGACCUCAAGGUCACGGGUUGCUGUGGAAACAGCCACUGAUAUAAUUAUUAGGAUGAUGAUGGUGACAAUGCUUUCCAUAUAGCAGCAGAGACAGCCAAAAUGAUAUGUGAAAAUCUUGACUGGCUCAUUGUUAUGCUAAGGAAUUCCGAUACUGAUAUUAAAGUCAGAAAUCACAGUAGCAAGACACUACGUGACAUCUUGGAGGCCCUUCCCCGAGAAUGUAUAUCUGAAGAUCUGAUGUAGGCGUAAAUCAAUAAUUAUUGUUCUAACUCUUAUUUCUAUGACUUAUUAGAUGUUGUAAUCUUUGCAUUCUGUUUAGGCGAGUUAAAUAGCGAUUUAAAUAUAAUAGAAGAGUAUGUUCUAAUUAAGAGUCUUUAGCUUACGACUUGAGGAAGUGAUGUAUUGCAUUAGAUGGUUGAUAAUUGAGGAGUUAGAUGUUUUCAACUCCUCUCUCCAUUUUGCUUUAUAUUGCAACUGUAACUAUUGCAACUCUACUAUUGUUUGAAAUAAAUGUGAUUUUAUUUUUUGUUUUAUGA